GAUGAAGAACGUAGCGAAAUGCGAUACUUGGUGUGAAUUGCAGAAUCCCGUGAACCAUCGAGUCUUUGAACGCAAGUUGCGCCUCAAGCCAUUAGGUUGAGGGCACGUCUGCCUGGGCGUCACAUAUCGUUGCCUGAUGCCAGUUCCCUCGUGAUGGGUGACUGUGCAGGGCGAAUGAUGGCUUCCCGUGAGCAUUGUUGCCUCAUGGUUGGUUGAAAAUUGAGUCCUUGGUAGGGAGCGCCGUGAUAGAUGGUGGUUGAGUGACGAACGAGACCCAAUCAUGUGAGACCCCUACCGAAUUUGGCCUUCAUGACCCACAUGCGUCUUUGGAACGCUCAUGACGAGACCUCAGGUCAGGCGGGGCUACCCGCUGAGUUUAAGCAUAUCAAUAAGCGGAGGA
rnacentral:misc_RNA from 1 species